CCUAUCCUCGGAAGGGACCUUCGUGACGUGAACGGUCAUGUGAUGAUACCAUGUGACCGCUCCAUUGCGCAUUACCCAUUAUUGAGCGGUAAAUUCAAGCAUACAGAAGCGCUAAUGCAGACAGAGGAAAUUUCCCAGAUCCUCUGCUGUUGGAAUUCCUCACAUCCUGACUCAUUUUGUCUCCAUUGUUUUGUGCAUUUUUCUAUUGUUUUUGCCAGGAUGAAGUGGGUACUCAUUAAAGGAAAGCUUUGGUUUUA